AUUCAACUAGACUUGGAGAGACUGGAAAAGAUCGUUGAAAAGCAUCUCUAAAGAGAACUACACCACAAAUACCAACCCUGAUGGGCCAGGAUGGCUUGGAAGCCAAACAAAAAUAAGUAGUAUCAAUGAUAAAUGAGGUUAAGGAGGUCAGUGUGGAGCAGAGACUGAACCUGGAGGAUAUAUCAGAUUUGGAAUGAGGCUGGACAGGAGUGAUGACAUCUGCCCUCCCAGGCCCCAGAAUACCAGUAUCACUUAAGGAGAUAAUGCCCCCAGGUGCCUGGCUUCCAACCACAAGCUGCGGGAACAAACCAGCUGGAACAGGUGCUGGUAUAAGGAGGUCAAAAGAUGUACUGUGAAGGAGAGCCUACCUACCAUCCCUCCUGGGGCUCAGCACCCUUCUGGGGGCCGUCAGAACAAGCAGGCCCUGAAAAAGGAAGAGGACUCCAAAUCAGAGAGAGCCUUCUCCAAAUAAUACUCAGGGAGUACAAACUUUCUCUCCCAACCCUGACUGAGACCCAGAUCCCAUACAGCAAAGAGGAGCCAUUCCAUAAAACACAGGCCCUAUUCUGCUCCAAGCCAUCUUUCAACCCAAUCAAGGUACCUGCUUGGUAUAAUUUUUCAGGAGAUCCCCAAGCAGAGCUCCCAACUUAAGCAAAAAGAAGCCCAAUUCAAAGGUGUCCCCUCGCUACUUAGAGCACCACCCCUCUCCUGUAGCUACACAGACAGUGACUCUGAUACCAGUCAGUUGCCAGAAAACAUCAGGACAAAGCAUUAGGAUCUGCGUUGAAAGGACAAGUCCUGUUAUAAAUCUGUAAACUGAACAUCCUGCUGUACGUCACACUCCUGUCUCUGAAGAGCACGAUUGUAAGACGUGCCAUGAAUUUGACUUUCCAGCUCACAGAACUGACGUGAGAUGCUAAGUCGUGAUCCUCCACCCAAGA